rnacentral:lncRNA from 1 species
GUGGAAAUCUCAGCCAUUCAGCGUUUGGGUCAAGAUGAAGGCGGGUUCUGGACAGACGUACCCAGUCAGGGAAUGUUUACUUUGCCUCCACUUCUGUUCCUCCCCGCCCUGGUGCUGCUCCGGGUCACAUACUCGUCCUGAGCCGGCUUCAGCCUCUCCGCGCAGAAGUCUCCCGGAGCCGACUUCUGAGAGUCGAGUACUCCUAUGUGAAGACUACCAAGCUCGUGUUCAAGGGAACCAAGGCGAAGAGGCGAGAUGGAAAGAAAGUAUCAAGGAGUGAGCUGAAGCCACUGCCCUUGAGAACCCUCUCGAGGAGUCUGGGCUCAUGAGGAUGCCAGAAUAAGUGGCAGGUAUAUCCUGAAUGAAUGUGAGAUUUUUACUCUGUGAAUUUCCUGUGAGGAGUGUAAGAAGAAAAAGAACAAAGAUAAGAAAAGAAAAAGAGAAGAAGAUGAAGAAACCCAGCUUGAUAUGUUGGAAUCUGGUGGACAGUAACAAACUUUGGUGAAAUUUCAGGAACCAUAGCCAUUGAAAUGGAUGAGGGAACCUAUAUACAUGCACUCGAUAAUGGUCUUUUUACCCUGGGAGCUCCACACAAAGAAGUUGAUGAGGGCCCUAGUCCUCCAGAGCAGUUUUCGGCUGUCAAAUUAUCUGAUUCCAGAAUCACCCUGAAAUCUGGCUAUGGAAAAUAUCUUGGUAUAAAUUCAGAUGAACUUGUUGUUGGGCGUUCAGAUGCAAUUGGACCAAGAGAACAAUGGGAACCAGUCUUUAAAAUUGGGAAAAUGGCUUUGUCGACCUCAAAUAGCUGCUUUAUUAGAUACAGUGAAGCAGAGGACAUAGAAGCAAAAAGUAAAACAGCAGGAGAAGAAGAAAUGAUCAAGGCUCUCCUAAUCUCUGUCAGACCUUCACCUUUAUGACCUUGCCUUAUCUACCAGAACACAGAUCCCUCUUACUAAAGAUUAGAUCCUGUGCUGAAAGAGAAACCAAGAAAAAAGAUGACAUUCCAGAAGAAGACAAAGGAAAUAUAAAACAAUGUGAAAUCAA